GAUCCUGGCUCAGAUUGAACGCUGGCGGCAGGCCUAACACAUGCAAGUCGAACGGUAACAGGAAGAAGCUUGCUUCUUUGCUGGCGAGUGGCGGACGGGUGAGUAAUGUCUGGGAAACUGCCUGAUGGAGGGGGAUAACUACUGGAAACGGUAGCUAAUACCGCAUAACGUCGCAAGACCAAAAGAGGGGGGACCUUCGGGCCUCUUGCCAUCGGAUGUGCCCAGAUGGGAUUAGCUAGUAGGUGGGG
rnacentral:rRNA from 1 species